rnacentral:misc_RNA from 1 species
GAUGAAGAACGUAGCGAAAUGCGAUAAGUAAUGUGAAUUGCAGAAUUCAGUGAAUCAUCGAAUCUUUGAACGCAUCUUGCGCCCUUUGGCUAUUCCGAAGGGCAUGCCUGUUUGAGUAUCAUGAACACCUCAACUCUCAUGGCUUGCCAUGAUGAGCUUGGACUUUUGGGGGUCUUGCUGGCCUGUGGUCAGCUCCUCUCAAAUGAAUUAGCCUGCCAGUGUUUGGUGGCAUCACAGGUGUGAUAACUAUCUACGCUUGUGGUUUUCCACCAGGUAACCUUCAGUGAUGAAGGUUCGCUGGGGCUCAUAAACGUCUCUCCUCAGUGAGGACAGCUCUUUGAACGUUUGAUCUCAAAUCAGGUAGGACUACCCGCUGAACUUAAGCAUAUCAAUAAGCGGAGGA